AUACGUAGGUGACAAGCGUUAUCCGGAUUUACUGGGCGUAAAGGGCGUGUAGGCGGUCUUGCAAGUCAGAAGUGAAAUUCCUGAGCUCAACUCGGGCGCUGCUUCUGAAACUGCAGGACUUGAGUGCUGGAGGGGAUAGCGGAAUUCCUAGUGGAGCGGUAAAAUGCGCAGAUAUUAGGAAGAACACCGGUGGCGAAGGCGGCUAUCUGGACAGUAACUGACGCUGAGGCGCGAAAGCGUGGGGAGCAAACAGGAUUAGAUACCCUGGUAGUCCACGCUGUAAACGAUGAAUACUAGGUGUGGGGGGACUGACCCCCUCCGUGCCGCAGUUAACACAAUAAGUAUUCCACCUGGGGAGUAAGAUCGCAAGAUUGAAACUCAAAGGAAUUGACGGGG
rnacentral:rRNA from 1 species